rnacentral:rRNA from 1 species
UACGGAGGGGGCUAGCGUUGUUCGGAAUUACUGGGCGUAAAGCGCACGUAGGCGGCUUUGUAAGUUAGAGGUGAAAGCCCGGGGCUCAACUCCGGAAUUGCCUUUAAGACUGCAUCGCUUGAACGUCGGAGAGGUGAGUGGAAUUCCGAGUGUAGAGGUGAAAUUCGUAGAUAUUCGGAAGAACACCAGUGGCGAAGGCGGCCCGCUGGACCGGCAUUGACGCUGAGGUGCGAAAGCGUGGGGAGCAAACAGG